GACGAACGCUGGCGGCGUGCCUAAUACAUGCAAGUUGAGCGAUGAAGAUUGGUGCUUGCCCCAAUUUGAAGAGCAGCGAACGGGUGAGUAACGCGUGGGGAAUCUGCCUUUGAGCGGGGGACAACAUUUGGAAACGAAUGCUAAUACCGCAUAACAACUUUAAACAUAAGUUUUAAGUUUGAAAGAUGCAAUUGCAUCACUCAAAGAUGAUCCCGCGUUGUAUUAGCUAGUUGGUGAGGUAAAGGCUCACCAAGGCGAUGAUACAUAGCCGACCUGAGAGGGUGAUCGGCCACAUUGGGACUGAGACACGGCCCAAACUCCUACGGGAGGCAGCAGUAGGGAAUCUUCGGCAAUGGACGAAAGUCUGAACGAGCAACGCCGCGGGAGUGAAGAAGGUUGUCGGAUCGUAAAACUCUGUUGGUAGAGAAGAACGUUGGUGAGAGUGGAAAGCUCAUCAAGUGACGGUAACUACCCAGAAAGGGACGGCUAACUACGUG
rnacentral:rRNA from 1 species